rnacentral:rRNA from 1 species
AUUGAACGCUGGCGGCAUGCCUUACACAUGCAAGUCGAACGGCAGCACGGGAGCUUGCUCCUGGUGGCGAGUGGCGAACGGGUGAGUAAUACAUCGGAACGUACCCUGAAGUGGGGGAUAACGUAGCGAAAGUUACGCUAAUACCGCAUAUUCUGUGAGCAGGAAAGAGGGGGAUCGCAAGACCUCUUGCUUUAGGAGCGGCCGAUGUCGGAUUAGCUAGUUGGUGAGGUAAAGGCUCACCAAGGCGACGAUCCGUAGCGGGUCUGAGAGGAUGAUCCGCCACACUGGGACUGAGACACGGCCCAGACUCCUACGGGAGGCAGCAGUGGGGAAUUUUGGACAAUGGGCGCAAGCCUGAUCCAGCCAUGCCGCGUGAGUGAAGAAGGCCUUCGGGUUGUAAAGGC